GGCUCUCUGGUGUAGUGGUAGCGUAUCAUCCAGCAGUUUUGGUUUGUCCCACUGCCCGAUGAGAGGGUCGGUUCGAUUCCGGCGGGAGCCA